rnacentral:rRNA from 1 species
UACGAAGGGGGCUAGCGUUGUUCGGAAUUACUGGGCGUAAAGGGCGCGUAGGCGGCGUGUCAAGUCAGGCGUGAAAGCCCCGGGCUCAACCUGGGAACCGCGCUUGAGACUGGCAUGCUCGAGUUCGGGAGAGGAUGGUGGAAUUCCCAGUGUAGAGGUGAAAUGCGUAGAGAUGUGGAGGAACACCGAUGGCGAAGGCAGCCUCCUGGGCCAGCACUGACGCUCAUGCACGAAAGCGUGGGGAGCAAACAGG